GCAGGCAAGCUAUGGCCCAUGUGGUCACAAAAGAGUUAGACACAAUUGAGCAACUGAGUGUGCACACAUGCACAAACAUUGUCCACAAUGUGUUUCUCAGAUUCACGUGAAGACAUCAUGGUGAGCCUAUUAAUGGUAGUCAUCGGGGAUCGCCGCUGGUAUGGAGUACUACUCAUAGGAUGUUUACAGGUCUCCAGUCAAAGAGGGAUAUUUUAUCUUAUACUGGUGUUCACCUUGGCUUGCUACAAGUAUCCAGGUUCAUGUCAAGAGACCAUGGUUAAACUAACAGUGCUAAUUAGUGAUGACCAUGGCUUGUGUGCAGAUGAUUCUCAUGAUGCUCUUAACCAUGAUAGUAACCAUGAAACAUUGCAGAUGUCCCAGAAUGAAAUGUUGUCAUAUCUGCGAAUGCCGACAACCUUGCUAUACUGCAGGUGUUCAGAAUGUGUUUUUCAGAUUCCCGUCAGGAGAUCAAGAUGAACUUAAUGGCUGUUAAAGGAGUUCUUUCUGAUGUUCAGAUAAGUGACGAUGUGCACUUUCCCCACAUCACAGCAUCCUGCAUUCAUAUCUCUAGGUUCCUGUCUAGAGAUCAUGGUGCACUUCUUUAUGACCAUGAGAAGAACAUGGCUUUUAUCCAAGUGAGUGACACCGUGGGCCUUUUGCAGAAGCCAGGCCAUCUAGUCUUCAGAUAUCUGAGUACAUGGGUAUGAUUUCCCUAACAGAGUGUUACCCUGUUGUUUUGCAAGUGAUCCAUUAAGUCCUUUCCUAAUGUGCAGGUAUGAGGUUAUAUGACUUUCCCUCAUUUCAGAGCUUCUUAUUUUCAUAUGUAUGAAUGAUGAUACUUUCAAGUCUCUGUGUUAAGUAUGGCUUUGGCAUGUUUGCCAUUCAGAAUUCAAAUUGACCCCAACAAUACCAGUAAGUCGGAUGUUUGACUGUGUUCUUGUUCACAGGUUAUGUGUUUUACGUACGCAUAGUGAUAGAUGGAUCAGUGGAUGAUUUGUCAUAUUGUCCAUCAGUGGUUAACAUUCACUUUGAGGUUUCUCCAGGCAUCCCUGCAAGAGAGGAAAGAAUCUCUUUUUAUUCAUCUCAGAUUUCCACAGUUAUCCAUGGAACAGCAAUGUGUCUUGAAAUGGUAGAAUUGAACAAGGAAUUUUCAGGUGGCCCAGUGGAGUAAGAUGCAUACCAAACACAUUUUACACAGUUGUUUUCAGCUUCAUGUGAAAGCAUCACAGUGAACUGAUUCACAGUAGUUAUCAAGGCACAUCGCAGAUAUGGAGGUGAGUGGUGGUGACUUGCGCUGAAGCCACAACCUAAAUCAUGUGACCUUUGUGCAUAAAAGCUAGUGUUGAUGGUGUCCCUAACACUUCUGCUUCCUUAAUUAUUUUUGCAGGUGUGCAGUUCAGGUCUUAAGUAGUACACAGGUAUGAAAUGAUAUGAUAUAAACACAUCAGUGAAAAUCACUCGGUCGUAUCUGACUCUUUGCGACCCCAUGGACUAUACAAUCCAUGAAACUCUCUAGGCCAGGAUACUGGAGU